rnacentral:rRNA from 1 species
AGAGUUUGAUCCUGGCUCAGGAUGAACGCUGGCGGCGUGCUUAACACAUGCAAGUCGAGCGAAGCACCUUGACGGAUUUCUUCGGAUUGAAGCCUUGGUGACUGAGCGGCGGACGGGUGAGUAACGCGUGGGUAACCUGCCUCAUACAGGGGGAUAACAGUUGGAAACGGCUGCUAAUACCGCAUAAGCGCACAGUACCGCAUGGUACGGUGUGAAAAACUCCGGUGGUAUGAGAUGGACCCGCGUCUGAUUAGGUAGUUGGUGGGGUAACGGCCUACCAAGCCGACGAUCAGUAGCCGACCUGAGAGGGUGACCGGCCACAUUGGGACUGAGACACGGCCCAAACUCCUACGGGAGGCAGCAGUGGGGAAUAUUGCACAAUGGGGGAAACCCUGAUGCAGCGACGCCGCGUGAGCGAUGAAGUAUUUCGGUAUGUAAAGCUCUAUCAGCAGGGAAGAAAAUGACGGUACCUGACUAAGAAGCCCCGGCUAACUACGUGCCAGCAGCCGCGGUAAUACGUAGGGGGCAAGCGUUAUCCGGAUUUACUGGGUGUAAAGGGAGCGUAGACGGCAUGGCAAGCCAGAUGUGAAAGCCCGGGGCUCAACCCCGGGACUGCAUUUGGAACUGUCAGGCUAGAGUGUCGGAGAGGAAAGCGGAAUUCCUAGUGUAGCGGUGAAAUGCGUAGAUAUUAGGAGGAACACCAGUGGCGAAGGCGGCUUUCUGGACGAUGACUGACGUUGAGGCUCGAAAGCGUGGGGAGCAAACAGGAUUAGAUACCCUGGUAGUCCACGCCGUAAACGAUG